rnacentral:rRNA from 1 species
GUGCCAGCCGCCGCGGUAAUACGUAGGUGACGAGCGUUAUCCGGAAUUACUGGGCGUAAAGCGCACGCAAGCGGUUCUACAAGUCUGGCGUGAAAUUCUCUGGCUUAACCAGGGGCGGUCGCUGGAGACUGUAGGACUUGAGGCGAUGAGAGGGGUGCAGAAUUCCCGGUGUAGUGGUGGAAUGCGUAGAUAUCGGGGGGAAUACCAGUGGCGAAAGCGGCACCCUGGCGUCGUACUGACGCUCAUGUGCGAAAGCGUGGGGAGCGAACGGGAUUAGAUACCCUAGUAGUCC